rnacentral:rRNA from 1 species
AGAGUUUGAUCCUGGCUCAGGACGAACGCUGGCGGCGUGCCUAAUACAUGCAAGUCGAGCGAAUUGAUUAAGAAGCUUGCUUCUUAUGACGUUAGCGGCGGACGGGUGAGUAACACGUGGGCAACCUGCCCUAUAGUUGGGGAUAACUCCGGGAAACCGGGGCUAAUACCGAAUGAUACAUUUUAACUCCUGUUAGAAUGUUGAAAGAUGGUUUACGCUAUCGCUAUAGGAUGGGCCCGCGGCGCAUUAGCUAGUUGGUGAGGUAACGGCUCACCAAGGCGACGAUGCGUAGCCGACCUGAGAGGGUGAUCGGCCACACUGGGACUGAGACACGGCCCAAACUCCUACGGGAGGCUGCAGUAGGGAAUCUUCCACAAUGGACGCAAGUCUGAUGGAGCAACGCCGCGUGAGUGAAGAAGGCUUUCGGGUCGUAAAACUCUGUUGUUGGAGAAGAACAAGGACGUUAGUACAGUUAGAAGGAUUGACGGUACCGGAAUAGAAAGCCACGGCUAACUACGUGCCAGCAGCCGCGGUAAUACGUAGGUGGCAAGCGUUGUCCGGAAUUAUUGGGCGUAAAGCGCACGCAGGCGGUCUGUCAAGUCGGAUGUGAAAUCCCCGGGCUCAACCUGGGAACUGCAUUCGAAACUGGCAGGCUAGAGUCUCGUAGAGGGGGGUAGAAUUCCAGGUGUAGCGGUGAAAUGCGUAGAGAUCUGGAGGAAUACCGGUGGCGAAGGCGGCCCCCUGGACGAAGACUGACGCUCAGGUGCGAAAGCGUGGGGAGCAAACAGGAUUAGAUACCCUGGUAGUCCACGCCGUAAACGAUGUCGACUUGGAGGUUGUGCCCUUGAGGCGUGGCUUCCGGAGCUAACGCGUUAAGUCGACCGCCUGGGGAGUACGGCCGCAAGGUUAAAACUCAAAUGAAUUGACGGGGGCCCGCACAAGCGGUGGAGCAUGUGGUUUAAUUCGAUGCAACGCGAAGAACCUUACCUGGUCUUGACAUCCACGGAAGUUUUCAGAGAUGAGAAUGUGCCUUCGGGAACCGUGAGACAGGUGCUGCAUGGCUGUCGUCAGCUCGUGUUGUGAAAUGUUGGGUUAAGUCCCGCAACGAGCGCAACCCUUAUCCUUUGUUGCCAGCGGUCCGGCCGGGAACUCAAAGGAGACUGCCAGUGAUAAACUGGAGGAAGGUGGGGAUGACGUCAAGUCAUCAUGGCCCUUACGACCAGGGCUACACACGUGCUACAAUGGCGCAUACAAAGAGAAGCGACCUCGCGAGAGCAAGCGGACCUCAUAAAGUGCGUCGUAGUCCGGAUUGGAGUCUGCAACUCGACUCCAUGAAGUCGGAAUCGCUAGUAAUCGUGGAUCAGAAUGCCACGGUGAAUACGUUCCCGGGCCUUGCACACACCGCCCGUCA